rnacentral:rRNA from 1 species
UCCUACGGGAGGCAGCAGUGGGGAAUCUUGCACAAUGGGGGAAACCCUGAUGCAGCAACGCCGCGUGAGCGAUGAAGCCCUUCGGGGUGUAAAGCUCUUUCGACGGGAACGAUUAUGACGGUACCCGGAGAAGAAGCUGCGGCUAACUACGUGCCAGCAGCCGCGGUAAUACGGAGGGUCCGAGCGUUAAUCGGAAUUACUGGGCGUAAAGCGUGCGCAGGCGGUUUGUUAAGCGAGAUGUGAAAGCCCUGGGCUCAACCUAGGAAUAGCAUUUCGAACUGGCGAACUAGAGUCUUGUAGAGGGGGGUAGAAUUCCAGGUGUAGCGGUGAAAUGCGUAGAGAUCUGGAGGAAUACCGGUGGCGAAGGCGGCUACCUGGCCCAACAUUGACACUGAGGCCCGAAAGCGUGGGGAUCAAACAGGAUUAGAUACCCUGGUAGUCCACGCCAUAAACGAUGGAUACUUGGUGUUGGAGGUAUUGACCCCUUCAGUGCCGAAGCUAACGCGUUAAGUAUCCCGCCUGGGGAGUACGGUCGCAAGGUUGAAACUCAAAGGAAUUGACGGGGGCCCGCACAAGCGGUGGAGCAUGUGGUUCAAUUCGAUGCAACGCGAAAAACCUUACCUAGAUUUGACAUGUAUUGGAAGGAUCCCAGAAAUGGGUCCGCCAGCAAUGGCCGAUACACAGGUGCUGCAUGGCUGUCGUCAGCUCGUGUCGUGAGAUGUUGGGUUAAGUCCCGCAACGAGCGCAACCCCUGUGUUUAGUUGCCAGCAUUUAGUUGGGCACUCUAAACAGACUGCCGACGUUAAGUCGGAGGAAGGUGGGGAUGACGUCAAGUCCUCAUGGCCUUUAUAUCUAGGGCUACACACGUGCUACAAUGGUCGGUACAGAGGGAAGCAAAGCCGCGAGGUAGAGCAAAUCCCACAAAGCCGAUCUAAGUUCGGAUUGUUGUCUGCAACUCGACAACAUGAAGCUGGAAUCGCUAGUAAUCGUGGAUCAGCACGCCACGGUGAAUACGUUCCGGGGCCUUCACAUCAC